GUGUCCCAACCACACCGUGAGGCGUGGCUUGGAUUUGGGGGUUACAGGCUUAGUCUGCUCCCCUGAAAUGCAUGAGUGGUGAUGACCUCUCCAUUAAGAUGUGAUACAUAUCUGCAUCUAGUUGAGGGUUUUGCUGCUAUACAAGAGUUGGAUUUGAUAA
rnacentral:misc_RNA from 1 species